rnacentral:lncRNA from 1 species
GUCAAACUAGGGAAAAGAUAAGUUAGUUUACCAGAAAGUUCAAAAUCAUAUGUCUGCGUGUUGUGCUCCACAUAGGAUCAGCAUGAAUGCCUACAUAACCUGCCCAUACACAUCAGGAUGAGAUGGAUAAAAAUAAAGAAAGAUAAGAAUAACUGCCUUGUAAGAGAAGGCAAUACAUACAAUCCAGACAAGCACAUGAAUUAUAGAUCUUACAUGUCAAAUUGAGAUCUUUGAAUGGCUAUUUUUCCUUGCCUAAUUAAUUAAGCAACACUUCAAGGAUGACCCUCACAUGUUCCUAAGGGGACAGGCAAGUGGUGGCUAUGAAUCAUCACUACUGUAUGUACAAUAAUGUCAUAAAUUCAAAUUUUUCACCUUGUCAACUUUAACACACAAGACUGGUAAAACUAACUUGAGAAAAAUUCGAAAGCAUAUGACGGCUAACCUAAUAGUAACAAUAUGAUUCUCAACAAUGUCCCUCUUGAGAUUAAGAACAAUUGUUUUUAGUUUAAACAACUGCUUAAUCAUAAAGAAUUACCUACAAAAUAACCAGUUAAUUUUCAUGGGAACGAAGUUGAGUCGAUUAAGCCAAAUUAAACUACCUUACUAGUUCGGAAGAGAUAACUUCAAUAUGUGAAACUUUCUCUUACUUUGGCUCAACUUACAAAAGAAGGCAGCAUCAUAAAGCAAAUCUGUCAACUAAUCUAAAGUUAUAAAAAAAAAAAAUACACAUGUGCACACAAAUCUUAAUGACAAUGAGUCAGCAUGAGAUUAGUUUACUGUAAUUGACCAGACAGCUAAAAGAAGACAUUUUCAAUACCUUACGAGAAAAGAGAAAAAGAUAUAAAAGGAAUUUAGAAAAUAAAGGGAGUGGUUGAACAUGCACUGCACUUUGAUUGUUUUUAGAAUAUUUCAAAUUUCAAUCAACAAAAAGAUUAUUGAAGACACUCCCAUCUCCCUGACAACCUUUUUCUUCUUGAUACAAAAGAAAAUUCUGAAAAAGCAUAUGCAUGACCUUUUUUGGUUAUUUCAGAUGACCCAUAGCUGACUCAUGCAACAAUCAGUUAAAAGAUUCACCAACUCCUCUGCAAGCACCUAUAUAUAAUGCUACAUGGAAUGCUUUUAAACCAUCAACCAAACUUAAAUAUUUCUCACAUACCUUCAAAAUACGGUAAUACUCCACCUCAAAUCAGAACCACAAUGAAGAACUUACUCCGUGGAAAUUUGGUGGGUAUUCCCAUGAGUACAACAAUAUGUUCACUUGAAAGGCAGCCGAAAAAACUAUUUGCCCUAUCUGCUUGCGAAGACCAUAUCGUUCCAUAUGCAACUUUAAAGAACUUGUCUCAAAUUAAGCAAAGUGAGUGUUUCCCUGGUCCCUUAAGGAAGAAUCAACUUGAUCUGACCCUUGAAUGUAGAGAUCAUAAAAAUAACAAUAUUCUUGAAUAUGCAGGAAAAUAUGUCAUUGGUAAGAUUAACAAAUUGGGAGAAAGGGUGGAUUGUCUUGUACAAAGCAUCCGUGAGCAUGGUAAGCACUUAAGUUCGCUACAAAAAACUUAAAUAUAUUUAUUGAAAAUAUUACUAAGAUAAUAUUAUGUUCAAGUCGGAAAAUAAGUAUUUGAACUUGGAGUUGAAAGGAGUAUUUGGGAAUUGAAAUUGUGUCUGGACAUGAAUUUUGUUUGAAAAAAAAGUUUGUAAGCGAAAACAAUUAUCUCACACAAAAAUACUACUCAGACAAGUUAAUUCAAUACUACACCUGUCUUUCAAAUGCUAAAAUCACCAACUGUGAAUACUGAUGGACAAACUUUACCUCAAGUAUUUGCAAGUGAUGUCAUGACCAAACACUAUUGUAAAUCUAAAGAACUCAGAGAAGUGAGUCAUAAAGUAAAAAAUUCAUGCAAGAAACACAUGUAUACAUGAUAGAAAGCAUUGAUUUUAAAUGUACUCUAAUUGUGCAGUGAGCCUAAGCCCGAAACUAACAGAAACUUUAAAGGGAAAAUUGAGCCUUGGAGCAAAAAUUCUUCAAGUAGGAGGGUUGGAGAAAAUAUUCAGGCAGAAGUUCAGUCUUAGAGAUGAUGAAAAGCUAUUGAAAGUUUGUCAAUGCUAUUUAUCAACUACAGCUGGUCCAAUAGCAGGCCUUCUCUUCAUCUCUACCGCUAAGAUUGCUUUCUGCAGUGAGAGAUCAAUAAAGCUCUUAUCUCCAACUGAAAAGUUGCUUAGAACUUACUAUAAGGUACCACUCUGCUCCGUUUGUCUUUCAACUCUUAAUUUUCUAACCAUGUAAAGCAUAAUCUAACUGGUUCACAAUGGCAGGUAUCAAUCCCAAUAAGUAAGCUACUGAAAGCAAAGGAGAGCAAGAAUAUGCAAAAGCCAUCACAGAAGUAUAUACAAGUAAUUACAGAGGAUGAUUUUGAGUUCUGGUUUAUGGGAUUUCUCAAUCAUCAAAAGACACUGAGAUAUCUGCAGCAGGCAAUCUCCAGCUCAAGGAAGUUAUGAAGACAACAUUUUUUCCUUUUGUUCAUUUCUUUUCCAAGGAGCUCGUUCUUCAAUGUAAAACGUUCAUGCAAAAACGAACUCAGGGAUCUGUUAAAACUUUGUAACUAGAUCCAUUGCUCAAAGGAGGCUUUAGGUUUAAGCUUUGUGCCCUUAUGAGUUAAUGGGAAUGUACAGACUUUUUUUUUUAGAUACGAAUGUAUAAAUUUAUUAUAAAACUUGUGCAGAUAGAUUGGUUUUUUUUGUAGAUUCAUUUAUCUUUCUACUUGUCCUUAGAGUAGACUUUAUGACCCAAGUGGUAGAUACGAAAACAAGAACAAUAUGCUAGUUAUAGAAUUAGCAUUUUAGAUUGUUUAUAUGCAAAUUUAAUACUGCAUUCACAAGCUUUGCUGCCUACAAGUUCUUUAAGUACGAUAUAUAGUGUCUUCAAAUUAUUUAUCUUUUGGAUAAAAUGAAAUAAGAUAUAAAAUCUGCAGUUGUGAAGUCAGUUUGAGGGAUAUUUCCCUGUUGUAAUUCAAUAUGCUGAGGCCGGAAACCACACUAUAUCAAUUUAAGAAUCUAAGUGAUCAUCAUCAUUUUUCUGGUCUGUAGUUCCUCACACCUUGAGAUAAGAAAAGGUGUAGCCAUUCUCACAAUGGAAUGCUACCCAUUCAUGAAAAGUGAACUGGUAUCAGCGUCCAUAAAAUGAUGAACCAGCCAAUUUGAAAUACUAAAAUUGGCAGUGUGUUUAACUUCUCUGCAUUUUACACUAUCAAGUUACAUAAAUGAUAACCACAGGUAACUGUUUAAAAAAGGUGGAUUUAGUAACCUGAAAAUCUGGGCAAGUUGCCUGCUACAAGACAUUAAUAUACACUGUCAAUGUAAAGGCAACUUACCUACUAUAACAUGCUAAAAUACACUAUCAACGUGAAAAAAAAAUGUUAUACCGUCACUAAAAUACACUUGGUUUGUUGUUGAUAUCUCGUGUAAUAGCAAAACAUUCUCAAACUUCAUAUUACUACAUAUUUAUGACAUAAACCCAAAAAACAAACCAAAUACAAUCAAUCUAUACUUCUUGAUCAUAGAUGUAGUCAAAGCACCCUAAGUAAGUGAUCAAAAUCCGGUGUGGAUCUCACACCCACACUUUUGUCGUGUUGACACGUGUGUGGUAGGAAUUUUGAAGAGUCUGAGUACUAUAGAUAAACCAUGAUAGUAGAGUACCAUACCCCUAAACUCAACAUCCAAAAGAAGGCACAAGACUUCUCAUAUCUUGAUUUAGUUACAACUAACUUUCUUGAGAUAUUUUCGGUAACACUAAUUGCUCUUCUCGUUUUGCACCUGAUAGAGGCUUAAUUCAUUUUGAUUUUUCUUAUAAUUGUGGUGUCUGACCACUUUGCGCACCUCGCUUAAUUCCACAAGACUACUUGUUACCUCCUACCAACACAAGUGCUAGGUAACUCAACCCAAUAUGGCUUAGACAAAUGGAAAAACAUCAGCUGGAAUUUGAACCUCAGACCCACUUCAUUGAUCACAACGCCACACCCUUGGGUACUCAUUUAAGCUUUAUGUAACUAAACUCAUUUUCCAACAAAAAUUGGCCAACUAGCUUGCUAGAUAAUAUAAUUGAAAAACGAAUGAAAACACAUUACAACGCUCUUAAAAUAUUAUUCUCUCAGGGCCAAUUUAUGUGGUGGAAUUCGACUCAACACAAAGUUUAAGAAAAGAACUUUUGGACUUAUGGCCUUGAACCUACCAUGAGAUUCUUGUGACUAAAAAAGUAUGACAUUAAGGGUAAAAUGAAAAAAUUUAAAUGAAAUAUUUCUAAAUAAAAGGUAUCAUUCUUUUGGAAUGGACUAAUAAGAACUAUGACAUAUAAUAAGUAAUAGAGGGAGUAUUAAAGAGUAUUACAAAUAAUUUCUUAAUAACCAGAUAAGAAGUUUGAAAGAUACACAUGAAAAAUGAAUCAAAAAAUAUUAUUAUCUUUUUAUGCUUCAUUGUUAAAUACUUUUAUUUCUUUAGAUUUUUCAAAGGAUUGUUGUCCAAAGAUAAAAGAUGGUCAAACUAGGGAAAAGAUAAGUUAGUUUACCGGAAAGUUCUAAAUCAUAUGUCUGCGUGUUGUGCUCCACAUAGGAUCAGCAUGAAUGCCUACAUAACCUGCCCAUACACAUCAGGAUGAGAUGGAGAAAAAUAAAGCAAGAUAAGAAUAACUGCCUUGUAAGAGAAGGCAAUACAUACAAUCCAGACAAGAACAUGAAUUAUAGAUCUUACAUAUCAA